UACGUAGGGAGCAAGCGUUAUCCGGAUUUACUGGGUGUAAAGGGCGCGUAGGCGGGAUGGCAAGUCAAAUGUGAAAUCCAGGGGCUCAACCCCUGAACUGCAUUUGAAACUGUCGUUCUUGAGUACUGGAGAGGUUGACGGAAUUCCUAGUGUAGCGGUGAAAUGCGUAGAUAUUAGGAGGAACACCAGUGGCGAAGGCGGUCAACUGGACAGCAACUGACGCUGAGGCGCGAAAGCGUGGGGAGCAAACAGG
rnacentral:rRNA from 1 species